ACGCUCGACACCUACGGGGGGCAGCAGUAGGGAAUCUUCCACAAUGGACGCAAGUCUGAUGGAGCAACGCCGCGUGAGUGAAGAAGGUCUUCGGAUCGUAAAACUCUGUUGUUAGAGAAGAACACGAGUGAGAGUAACUGUUCAUUCGAUGACGGUAUCUAACCAGCAAGUCACGGCUAACUACGUGCCAACAGCCGCGGUAACUGAGCGGGCUGGCAAGGC
rnacentral:rRNA from 1 species